UACGUAGGGGGCCAGCGUUGUCCGAAGUUACUGGGCGUAAAGGGCGCGUAGGCGGGGAAGAAAGUCUGCUGUGAAAGCCCGGAGCUUAACUCCGGAGGGUCGGUAGAUACUUUUUCUCUUGAAGCUGCUAGGGGGAGAUGGAAUUACCGGUGUAGCGGUGAAAUGCGUAGAUAUCGGUAGGAACACCUGUGGCGAAGGCGGUCUCCUGGGGGCAGACUUGACGCUGGAGGCGCGAAAGCUGGGGGAGCGAACGGG
rnacentral:rRNA from 1 species